GUACUCACUUCGGUAGCACAUAUACUAAAAUUGGAACAAUACAGAGAAGAUUAGUGUGGCCCCUGUGCAAGGAUGACACUCAAAUUUGUGAAGUGUUCCAUAUUUAA
rnacentral:snRNA from 1 species